GACGAACGCGGCGGCGUGCCUAAUACAUGCAAGUAGAACACUGAAGAGAAGAGCUUGCUCUUCUUGGAUGAGUUGCGAACGGGUGAGUAACGCGUAGGUAACCUGCCUGGUAGCGGGGGAUAACUAUUGGAAACGAUAGCUAAUACCGCAUAAAAUUGAUUAUUGCAUGAUAAUUAAUUGAAAGAUGCAAUUGCAUCACUACCGGAUGGACCUGCGUUGUAUUAGCUAGUUGGUGAGGUAACGGCUCACCAAGGCGACGAUACAUAGCCGACCUGAGAGGGUGAUCGGCCACACUGGGACUGAGACACGGCCCAGACUCCUACGGGAGGCAGCAGUAGGGAAUCUUCGGCAAUGGGGGGAACCCUGACCGAGCAACGCCGCGUGAGUGAAGAAGGUUUUCGGAUCGUAAAGCUCUGUUGUAAGAGAAGAACGGGUGUGAGAGUGGAAAGUUCACACUGUGACG
rnacentral:rRNA from 1 species